UUUGCUUAUAAUAUUUAUUUAAUGUAUGUUUUAUAGUUAUAUAUAUAAGCUUUUAUGAACUAAACAAUAUGAUAACUAUAAUGCAAAAUACAAAUUAUUUUGAAGUUGAAUUUGAAGUUUUAUCAUUGACGAGAACACUUUCAAACUUUAACUAUGGAGUUCUGCAACUGACAAAAGUAAAAUAUCCAUGUCUGCUUAAAGAAGUAAUUGAUUUCAUUUCUAAAAUCGUGAUGAUAUUCCAAUAUUUUCGGAUCCAAAGAUGAUACAGAUUUUGCAGAAGAAAUAAAACGAACUGCCCAAGAGUAAAAGUGGACAAAAAGAUAAUUAGGAGAAAAAUGGUAUUUUUGCAAAUUUCUCUAAAGUUUUAGAGUUAAAUAAGGAUUAUUAAUUUUUCCUUUUUUUUACCUGAAAAAUAGUUGAGUCAUUGUUAGUUUGUUACUCAUUUUACUUAUAAAACUUUUAAUCAUUUUUACUUGAAUUACAUUUGGAUAUAUCAUAUAUGAAAAUAAUAAUAUCUUUGGUGUGUAUAAAACUUCUAGAACAUGAAAAUUUAUCAAUCGUGAGUUGAAUGUUUCAC
rnacentral:sRNA from 1 species